rnacentral:lncRNA from 1 species
GGCCGAAGCUGAAGAAGACGCUCCAGUAGGUACUGGUCCCAUCUCAUAGCCGCACCCCUGCAUCUGCCCUAUCCCUUCUUGGACAGUGAGCCCCAGAGAAGGGGGAGCCCCAGGGUCCCUCUGGCUCAUCACUCUGUGGGUAAUGACAAGUACUUAUUCGAUAGUGAUGAUGGGGGGCCUGCACAGUAAUUGUAAUAAACUGAAAAGCUACCCUCUGGGGGAAAAAAAAAGAAAAAACACCAAACAAAUCAUAACCACAAGUUUUUGACUGAGUCUUCUCUGCCACUAUCACAGAACUCCAGGAACCAUAGAAGCUCAGAAUUGGAAGGAAUAGCCUCCAAUUGAGUCCCCUAUCCCCUCCCCAUAACUGCCUUUGAAUGCUUGCCAGUCCUGUUCUUGACUGACACCUCUAGUGCUGGGGACCUUGCAUAUUCCUAGGGGCUCUGCUUGCAGUGUGGAUGAGCUCUGGUUGUAGAAAUGGUCUUAGGCAAAAUUGAAAUGCUUCGCCCUGUAACUGCUCCCCACGGCCCCACACAGAACAAAUCUAAUUGCUCUGUCAUGUAAGUCCUUCACACCCAAAAUGACCUUGCCCUAAUGAUUUUGCUUCUCUAGCCCAAACACCUGAAAUCCUUCCAUAAUUUCCCUAAAUGGCGUUCCCCAACUACAGCACCUUGCUGGCUCAGCUCCUCUAGCCACAGUAACAAAUGACCCUGCC